rnacentral:misc_RNA from 1 species
CACAAAUGCCAUCAGCAGCAUGAAGACAGCAGCUAGCAUAGGAUAUAGGACGUUACCAUUUCCCCUCUUCCAACUCUUCAAGACGGCAUGUGCACAAAUGCCAUCAGCAGCAUGAAGACAGCAGCUAGCAUAGGAUAUAGGACGUUACCAUUUCCCCUCUUCCAACUCUUCAAGACGGCAUGUGCACAAAUCUUACCAUCAAAACUACCCACGGAAUUAUUUAUCUUCAUGAUCUCAACCCCAUUCAGAAUGGCAUCUACAGCAUGUGGAAGACUCGUAUUCGAUGGCCCAACACUCAAAGUCAAAACACCGGAACUAUCUCCAUCAACGACAAAAUCAGCAUAGAAAGGAGAAGCCAGCAACCUAUUUGUUACUUCAGUAAGGUCCAAGUUUUCGUAGGCUAAAUUGUUGUUCACAUAAACAUUGAAAAAUAGCAUACCACGCGCAAUACUAGCUAUAUCACAGAAGUGCAUCCUAACCAAGUACUUAUACCCUUUGGUCACUGGAAAUGUCCAUGUCAUUUUCAACUCGGGGAUUGAAGAACCCGAACUCCUAAUAACUCGAGCAGUAUUAUAAACAUUAUCAGGACCAACCUCUCUGCUCGCCCCACCUUCUUGAUAGUUUAUACGGCCACCAAAGUGAACCUUUGAAGAACCAUCAUUAGACUUGAGAAACUCAUCAUCAGUAACCCAAGUUCUCCAUAACGAAUCAUUAAAAGGGGUAACUUUCCAACCACCAACAUUAACCCUAUACAUAGUUUCAAACCCAUUCUUCAAUAAUCCACGAAUUUGCUCAUUUUUAUCAAAACUAACAUACUGAGCCACAUCAGCAAUUAAAUCAUUAGGAGCAGAAAUAACCUCAAUUGCAUUAACAAAGGCAAAAUUCGACUUCUCACUCGGCACAAAAGUGAUGACAAGUUUAUCUGAAUCAACCCCAAUCACAUAAUCCUUAACUAUCUCAACAUCCUUACCCAUCUCCAUACUUAAACUGUUAAAUAACACAAACCCAUUUGCCAAGACAUGAAAUUUAGCAUUACUAAAAUCAAGACUACCUCUUAAUCGACGGAAAUGAAUACGUACCAAGUGCAUACCAGGGUUCUUGAUUACGAACUUGUACUUAGAGGGGCGCGUGAAAACACGAGCAGUGUGGUAAAUUGGGGAAGAUUUAGGACAUGGGUUUAGGUCUGCGAGUGAAAUCGAUUCCGUGGAGGUGAGAAACGACGCCUUUGGGUCGGAAACGUCUCCGGUGAAGCGGCGGUGGUCGAAGUCAACGGUGGUAGGUUCCGGGGACCCACAGUUUACGAGGUAGUGGUCGAGGGGUGAAAAGGAAGCUGAAAUUAGAUUGAAGCAGAGAAGUGUGAAGGAGAAGUAGAGAGCCAAGGUGGAAGAAAGAGUCGCCAUUGUGCGA